GAUGAACGCUAGCGACAGGCCUAACACAUGCAAGUCGAGGGGCAGCACAUGAGUAGCAAUACGAUGGUGGCGACCGGCGCACGGGUGAGUAACACGUAUGCAACCUGCCUUCUACUAUGGGAUAACCCGUUGAAAGACGGACUAAUACCGUAUAAUACAGGGGCUCCGCAUGGAGAUAUUUGUUAAAGAUUUAUUGGUAGAAGAUGGGCAUGCGAAUGAUUAGAUAGUUGGUGAGGUAACGGCUCACCAAGUCAACGAUCAUUAGGGGUUCUGAGAGGAAGGUCCCCCACACUGGUACUGAGACACGGACCAGACUCCUACGGGAGGCAGCAGUGAGGAAUAUUGGUCAAUGGACGAGAGUCUGAACCAGCCAAGUCGCGUGAAGGAAGACGGUUCUAUGAAUUGUAAACUUCUUUUGUGCAGGAAUAAAGUGGGUUACGUGUAACCUUUUGUAUGUACUGUACGAAUAAGGAUCGGCUAACUCCGUGCCAGCCGCCGCUGUAAAAC
rnacentral:rRNA from 1 species